rnacentral:rRNA from 1 species
UACGGAGGGAGCUAGCGUUGUUCGGAAUUACUGGGCGUAAAGCGCGCGUAGGCGGCUUUGUAAGUUAGAGGUGAAAGCCCGGAGCUCAACUCCGGAACUGCCUUUAAGACUGCAUCGCUAGAAUUGUGGAGAGGUGAGUGGAAUUCCGAGUGUAGAGGUGAAAUUCGUAGAUAUUCGGAGGAACACCAGUGGCGAAGGCGGCUCACUGGCUCGGUACUGACGCUGAGGUGCGAAAGCGUGGGGAGCAAACGGG